CAGCAGCAGCCGCGGUAAUACGUAGGUCCCGAGCGUUGUCCGGAUUUAUUGGGCGUAAAGCGCGCGCAGGCGGAUCGGUCAGCCUGUCUUAAAAGUUCGGGGCUUAACCCCGUGAUGGGAUGGAAACUGCCAAUCUAGAGUAUCGGAGAGGAAAGUGGAAUUCCUAGUGUAGCGGUGAAAUGCGUAGAUAUUAGGAAGAACACCAGUGGCGAAGGCGACUUUCUGGACGAAAACUGACGCUGAGGCGCGAAAGCCAGGGGAGCGAACGGGAUUAGAUACCCGUGUAGUCCCUGUCUCUUAUACA
rnacentral:rRNA from 1 species